rnacentral:rRNA from 1 species
AGAGUUUGAUCAUGGCUCAGAGUGAACGCUGGCGGCAGGCCUAAUACAUGCAAGUCGAACGGCAGCACAGCAGAGCUUGCUCUGUGGGUGGCGAGUGGCGUACGGGUGAGGAAUACGUGGGAAUCUGCCCAGUCGUGGGGGAUAACGUAGGGAAACUUACGCUAAUACCGCAUGCGCCCUUCGGGGGAAAGCCGGGGACCUUCGGGCCUGGCGCGAUUGGAUGAGCCCACGUCGGAUUAGCUAGUUGGCGGGGUAAAGGCCCACCAAGGCGACGAUCCGUAGCUGGUCUGAGAGGAUGAUCAGCCACACUGGAACUGAGACACGGUCCAGACUCCUACGGGAGGCAGCAGUAGGGAAUAUUGGACAAUGGGCGCAAGCCUGAUCCAGCCAUGCCGCGUGAGUGAAGAAGGCCCUCGGGUUGUAAAGCUCUUUUGUCCGGAAAGAAAAGCGCCGGGUUAAUACCCUGGUGUCCUGACGGUACCGGAAGAAUAAGCACCGGCUAACUUCGUG